GAUCCUGAUUUAGUGUCAGAGAACCUGCUUCCCGGGUGAUCCCAGUGUGAAGGCCUGGGCGGAAACCCGUUUCAGGUUCCCACGCCAGCAGAUGCCGAGUGACCACGCCUGGGCGGGCAGGGCAUUCCAGGAUGGGGCCAGUGCAGGCCAGCAACCAAGGGCGCCCUGCUCCUUCAAGGCAGUGCCUGGAGCCAGGCCACAGAGGCCGGAAGACGCUGGAAGUGCGGCAGGAGCUGGUCCCAUCUGCCCUCCGCACUCUGCCCAGGCUUCUGCCCCCGAGCACUGCCUGGACCUGGUAGGGCAUGGCUGGGACCCGGGAAGGAUCUGCGACGUCAGUGACAUAAAGCCCAAUAGGACAGAAAAAGGAAGCACUUCUCUCAUUGGAAGUGUUACCUAGAUGUGGGAAUGACAGUGCGGUCAUUGUGAAUGGAGGUGAACUCAGAAUGAGUGCUUUUGGGGCUGUCUGAGAAAUGGGAGUGAAGAACCUCCCAGGCGGCUGGGAGGAGGGCAGGGCCUGGCUGGAGACCCCCAGAGCAG
rnacentral:lncRNA from 1 species